CACGGGGGCUUCGGCUCGAGUGGCGGACGGGUGAGUAACGCGUAGGAACGUGUCUUGGGGUGGGGGAUAACGCUGGGAAACUGGCGCUAAUACCGCAUGUCUGCUGCGGCAGAAAGCCUUCGGGUGCCUUGAGAGCGGCCUGCGUCCGAUUAGCUAGUUGGUGGGGUAAAGGCUUACCAAGGCGACGAUCGGUAGCUGGUCUGAGAGGACGAUCAGCCACACUGGGACUGAGACACGGCCCAGACUCCUACGGGAGGCAGCAGUGGGGAAUAUUGGACAAUGGGCGGAAGCCUGAUCCAGCAAUUCCGCGUGGGUGAAGAAGGUCUUCGGAUUGUAAAGCCCUUUCGGCAGGGACGAUGAUGACGGUACCUGCAGAAGAAGCCCCGGCUAACUUCGUGCCAGCAGCCGCGGUAAUACGAAGGGGGCUAGCGUUGCUCGGAAUUACUGGGCGUAAAGGGCGCGUAG
rnacentral:rRNA from 1 species